UACACAAGACGUGGCAGGUGCAAGGCUCUCGUAGCCUAAACACUGGAGACCAACGAAGCGAAUCUAGCGGCGACCACGCCAGCAAAGCCUCAGCGACGACCUGGCACACCGAUCCCACCCAGUCCCCAGCAAAAUCCCUAGGUCUCCUUGGUGUGGUAAAAUAGAACCUGAUCCCGGUCUCCAACUGUCUUAUCUUUUUCAAAUGUUUUAAACUUACUGCCUUUGUUCAGCAGAACCACAGGCACGGUGAUGACGGUGACGAGCGCAGCGAUCCCCAGCAGUCCCAGGAGCACCUUCCACGGUGUCUGCAAGCCGGGCAGAUCACGUCCAGUUAGAGCCAGCCGCUUGGCCCCAGUCUGGGGAGGAAGCCUAGGCACAGGAGGUUAAGUCACUUGGCCAAGUCCAGGCAGCUAGGAAGUCGUGGAGCCUGAAUUCAGAGUCCAUGUUCUUAACCACUACUCCACAGGGCCUUUCAUCUUUCAGUCCUGCAAAGAGGAUUUUUGGGAAAAGAAACUACAACAGUGUUGGACUUGGGUGAACUCAGCAAAGUACCAAAGCUAUAAACACAGAAACACCAGCUUCUUCCAGCCAAUCAACAUAUGACCUGGAAGGCAGCGUGGAGAAGAGAAAUGAGCAAAUAUUUUAAAGUCUGACAAGCCUGGGUCUGUCAUCCAAUUACUAUAUGCCCUGGGUCUUUUUUCUUUAAAGCUACUUCACAGAGUUGUGGAGAUUUAAUGAGAUAAUAACUGAGUAAUCUUGGCUACUCCCCGAGGCUUUCAGAUUUAUCUACAUGCUGGUGUAUCUCUUCAGUUGGGAUCUCUAUGCUGGAUUCUGAGCCACCUGGAAGUCAUCGCCUGGAUGACUCAGAGGCCUAUCAAAUGUAAUUUAGCCAAGAGUAAGUUAAUUAUUAAUUAUUGCUGGCGCUACCCCAGCUCAUCCCUGACCCCCUCCACAAAGUUCCAUCCUUUCCCUCAUGCCCCAUUUCAGUGAGAGGUAUCGACACCACAUUGCCCAAGUCAGAAACCUAGGGGUCCUCCUUGAUGUCUACUCACUCCUUACCCCACACAGCGACCUCUUUAGCAUCUGUUUUAUUUGUCCACAUCCCUCUAAGCUCACUCCACCUUUUUUUAGGCUUUCCUCUCUUCUGGUUCAGACCACCCUACCAGCAUCCUCUGAACGGCCUCUUGUCUUGUAAUUUCACUCCAGUGCAGCCUCUAUUACUUUCUUGUUUCAAAUUAGUGGUUCCUCCUGCUGCAGGAUAAAGUACAAAUUCCUUAUUGUGAGCUGGUCUCUGCUUCACCUUCCUUCUUGCCUCACCUUCCCAACCUCCCACCUACACCAAGAGACUUGCAUUUCUAAGCAUUGCCCUUCUCUCCUUUGCUUCCAGAUCUUCAAACACAAUACUCCCUCUGCCUGGUAUUCCAUUCCCCGUGUUUUUCAUCUGGCUAAAUUCCAAUCAACCUUCCAGACUCCAGUGUCAUUUCUUCUAAGAAGCCUUGUCUACCACCUGUCCAAGUGAGUUGCUUUGCCUCUGUGCUCCUAGAGAGGCUUGUGUCUCACUUCUUUUUAACAAAACCCUUGUCACUCUAUAAUGUAAUUAUCUAAUGUAAUAAUAGCUAAGAUUUAUGGACCCUAUGUUAAGUGCUGGAUGUUCUUUUAAGUACUUUACUUGUAUUAGCUCAUUUAAUCUCAUGAUAAUCCUAUGCAGUAAGUGCAGUUAUCAUCCUCACUUUGCAGAUGAGGACAUGGAAGCACAGAGAAGUAAAUAUUUCUCUCAGUAUCACACAGCCAGCAUUUGAACCCAAGAGGUCUGACUCCAGAGUCCCUAUGAUUAUCCACUCUGGAUUUUUGUAUCCAAUAAUCUCUGAGGAUUUUGUCUAUGUUGUUUACUGAGGUAAUUCCAGGGCUAAGAAUAAAGUCUGGCAUGUAAUAGCUGCUCACAAAGUGUUUACAGACUCACUGAAUAAGUAAAUACUAAUUCAUUUGUGUCUCUUCCUUCUGAAGGGCCGGGGACUGGGUUUCACUCUGUGUAUUCCCAACAGCUAGCCUGGUACCUCGUACACAAGAAAAUCAGUAAGCUUGUCUCUGUGCGUAGGUUCACUGCCACUCAGAGUUCCAAGAUUCCACUUCUCCUUUGUGCCUUUUUGAGACCUUGCAUCCACCCUGCCACGCCAUAGCACACUUUGCUGCAUGUCAAUUUUCAGCGUGUAGAAAAAAAUCUGGUCAGCUGCUGCUUGACAGCUGGAAAAACAGAGCUACACUGGAGCCAAACAAUUUUGUAUCUAAGGGAAGCAGGCGGGGAGAACCUCCUACCUUGUGCGGGUGUGUGGGUGGAGGGCUGAGUCACUGAGUUCUUUGAAUUCCUUGGAAAAAGAUAACUCAAAGGAAUAUUACACGACAUGGAGAAAUAGGAAAGAAUAAGCAGAAACAUAAAAAGGAUUUAAAUGUUGAAAAAUAUGAUCUGCAAGGCUAAAAAUAGUUGCAAUCAAAUUUGGAGAGAAGAAAGCUGGCGUCAGCAUUCCAGUGCCCUGAGGGGCCAUGCAUGACGGAGAGCUCCAAUUUGAAAGCUGCUGAGCAGAUGUUCCCAGGCCUUGCGGAGGAGAGGACUGUGCAACAGGCCUAGACUGACCUUGAGAGGCUGAGACAGGGGGAAAGGAACAACUUUGCCAGGCGAACGGCAGCCUGAGCUUCUGCAAAACAUUAUAAAAGAAUAUCCUAGAGUUCUUUGUGACCCCACCCAGAAGGAAGGGAGGUGAUAAGUAAUGAUGGUAUUUCCUGGGUAGUAGGUGUAUUUUGCACUUUUCCCCCUAAAUGAGCACUUUAAGAUUCCAAUUGAUUUUUUACAUGCAUUGCAGAAUUUCUCUGCAAUGAAACUUUGAAAACUUUGGGUGGAAUAGGGGUGGGGAGCAGGUCAGACUUUCAUGGUCAUGCCACCCAAAACCCCCAACAAUUUUCAUGUCUUAUCUCCGGCUCAUUUGGUAGUUAUUAUAUGAGAGACAAGUUGGGAUAGUGAGAGAAUGGGCAAGGGCUUACUCAGGAUAUGCCUCUUUGUCUUUUUUUUUUUUUUAAUUUCUUUUGUUUUGGCCUUACCACGUGGCAUGUGGGAUCUUAGUUUCCGGACCAGGGAUGGAACCCGCACCCCCUACAUUGGGAGCGCAGAGUCUUAACCACAGGACCACCAGGGAAGCCCCUCUUUGUCUUCUUUUGAGCAGCACUUUGCAAGCUGUAUUGUAAGGAUGAUUAAAGAGGUAUCGAAAAUGAGUAACACACUUACAAAAGGGCAAGUGGUAGGCUCCACAAAUGGGGGUGUGUUUAUCGUUAGUAUUGUUGUUGACUAGCAUUAUUUUCUUAAUUUUCCAGCUAAGGUUUCUGAGGUAUUGCCUCAGCAUGAGGAAGGUUGAGUAAGGUAGAUCAGAGGAGCUUAUGAUUAGAAUGAAGACACUGAAUCGGUUUCCCAGGCGGGCUCACUGGCUAAAAGGGGAUUGUGAGAAGUGUGUUUUUCAAGUUUGUUCCACAGCCAGUGUUUGGGCUCUUGAGAAGGGAGGUGCCAUAAGUGUAUUGUAAUAAUUAAUGCCCUAAGGGAGGAAGGGAAUUGUAUGAGAAGAUGUAUUCUCUAAUCCUUUUGAGUACAGUUCAUCUUUUCUGCCCAAGAAGAAUGGACGCACUUUAUGGGCAGGGACCAUGUCUUCUAAUUUGUAUUUAUAACCUUUCUUUUUCUUUCUCAGAGAUUUCAGGAACUAAGAAGGGACUUACUGAUAAGCCAAAUCCAGAAAUUCAAGUUACUUGUGUUGCUAAACAUGUGUAGAAUUUCAUAUAAAUGUAAUUCAUAAAAUUAUAUUUGACAAGAAUUUGAUAUAAUUGUCAAGAGUUUCUUUCUGUCCAAUAAUUUUGUGCAACACCUGGUAUACCACGCAUGGUGGCAAAAUAUAUCAACCCUCAGCCCUGCAGAGACCUCUACCCUGCAGGUGGAAUCUCCUUCCUGGAUCUCAGAGUUUCAAGGAUGCAGUGUGCCUGCUGCUCUACCCCUGAGGUCCUGCUAUCCUCUUCAGACCUUAUAGCUGCUUUGAGAGAGGUGUGGCCAAGGCAUUCUCACUUUUGAAGGGAGUGAAAUAAAUCAACCUGGAAAAACCAGGUUCUCUGAUUAAAGUCCAUGUUUUCCUAAGAAGAGCCUCUGUUUCUCCCUGCACUACUCUAUUGAAGGCAUUGCUGGUGGACAGCUUCCAGUACCUUUCUCCUCUCUUUUGUUUUGAAAGGCGCUGUAAGAGAUCACUAGUAAGAGAUCGUUUAUGUUUAGCAAUUGCCCUUUGAAGUUUCAGUCAAACACAGAAUUUACUAUAAAACAAAUUAGUCUUUAUUAUUUUAGUGAAAAUCAUAAGCUUAACUCAAACACACACAGAAUCGGAUUUCUGGAUCUCUCAUCCACCCAGUUUUCCCUGUGGGUAGUUGACUCUUAUGGAUGAGUGAACUACUUUUAGCAAGUGGUUAAUGAGCUACGUGCUGUAUAGAUAUGACUUUCUUUGAGCAUUCACUUAAUGAUUGGGUGACUAUUGCUAAUUCCUCCGAUAAUGAAAAGGGGUUAGAAAAUAGGUAUGGAAAGAUUAGAUUUGAACCAUAUGAUAUUGCUGAUCCUUGACCAUUUUUGACCCACGUUAUUCUGAUUUUACAUGAUAUAACUUAAUAUGUCCAAGGCUUAUUCACAAAACAAUACAUUCUAUACUAUGUCCAAUGUAAAACUGACAUUCUAAUAGUAAUAGAGUACACUUCAAAAAAAUUCAACAGUUUCAAAAGUUCAAAAAUUGUUUUAAAUACAGCUGCAAAAUAGGAACAUGAUACCAUAUUCCAUAUGAUAAUAAACCAGUAGCAGAUGAAAGAAGAUACAAUUGUGUCAUUUUAUACCCAGUAAUUAAAAAUGAGCCUUAAAAUUAUGAAAAAUAUAUUAGUUUACUAUAAACCCUUAAGUCAAUAACAUUUCGUGAAACAACUCUUUGUUGUGUUCUUUGAGUCAGAGGUGAAUGGUGUUGAGGACGUUUGGGAAAUCUUCCUUUAUCUCACUAAAGACUAUGUGUUUUUUUCAAAAUGCUUCAGUUCUUUUUAACUAUUCUGUACUGAAUACAAUGUGCUAACACGUAACAUUAAUCAAAUAUGAUUGAUAAUUUUGAUGAAUUAUAAUAAUGGGAAUUUCAAGAAAUAGAUGAAACAUUUUGGGGUUGAAAAGUUCUGACUAAUGUUCAAAAGUAAAUCCCCUCCUUUAUAUUUUGGUCCCAGUACAAUGAGAAUUCACAACUCUGAAUUAUGCAAAAGAGCUAAUGCUCUUCUGUUUGUGUGCAUCGAAUAGACAGUCUUAACGAAGGAGAUAAUGAGUAUCUGACGGCAUGGUGCAGUGUAAACAGAAGGAGGAAAAACUAACAGGCCCACUAAUCGUGGAGUAAAUCUUUUUAUAUGGAAAGCAAGAAAAUGUUUCAAAAUCAUAGAAAGACUGCAUCUUGACUAGAGAGGGAAGAAUUGCUCCUUUCCUAAUAUGGGAAGUUAGAUUAAGGCCUCUAGGCCCUUCAAAGAUAAACACCUUAAAAUUCUUGAGUCUUUCAUUAUUAGAGAUAUUCCCUCUGGAUGCUGCAGUUUAAGGUUUUUAAAGGAAGAGUUACACUUUAGAGCUCCUGAGAAGUCUCCACUUUCAUCCAUGGGGAGUGUUCUUUUAUAAUUGUGUCCUAUGGAGUUCCAUGUGAGGGGAGUUGACCAGAUUAAUUAUUUUAGUUCUUUCCUCUCAAUAUUCCUGAGAAAUUUAACAAACCUUCAUGGACAGCCCACGAGGUCCUCUCCCUACCUCCCCACGAGUCCUCAGACUCCAGCCUUCUCACUUUCCAGUACCCAGAAACACUUCAUAGUGCAGGCCACCACCACUUCUCCUGGCAGCCCCCCAUCCCCCUCCUCUCCACCAGCUGUCUAAACUCAGCUCAGGGAGAUUGUCCUCAAAUGCAAGACUGGUCCUUUCGCUUCCAAUCCGUUGAACAUUGCCUAUAAAUUCCUUUGUAACACCACUUCCCUUCCCCUUCAUUCCUGCCACCUUCUCAGUGUGGCCCUGUUUUUCAUUCCAGGCCUUUGGUCUUUCAGUACCCAUUUCCGGGUACUCUCUCCGCAGCAGCAUCUUCCAUUUCCUGCACCUGGGUAAUCCCUGCUUGUUUGUGAAGUCUCUGCUUAGAUGCUGCUUUCUCCAAGUUGCCUUCCCAGAUCCCCCAAAUGUGAAUCCCCCUCGCAUGUCUGCUCCCCUCCCCCUGUAGCAGUGACCACGCUAUAUCACCAUUGCCUUUCUGCUUUUCUGAACCCUCUAUAGUCUGCAAGCUCCUUAAGGGCAGGACCCCUUGUCUGUCUUGUUCACCAUUGUAUUCCCAGGGCCUAGCACAGUACCUGGCUUAGAGUAGACAGUGAAUGUAUGCUUAUUGAAUAAAUGAAUGAAGCAGACAGACUGACAGAUCCACAAUGGUGCUUUGUGAAGAGCUCCUGUCUUUGAAGAGCUUGUAGUCUGUAGUAUUUCUGUACAUUGAAAGACUAUGUGGAAUAACAAAAAGAACACACUUUUCAUGAGAUCUGGAUUUAUAUCCCAGCAUUACAAUUUACCAGCUCUGUGAAUUUGGAUAACUUACCCAACCUUCUUGUGACUUAACACAUGAAUCAGUAUAGUGAUAAAAGACGUCUACUUCAUGGGGUUCUUGUAAGUAAUAAAAUAAGAGACAUUAAACAUGUACCAUAAUUGGUACUGGAUAAUGUUGGCUUCCCUUUUCUCCCAACACACAGCUGUGCUUCCAUUUGACAUAAAUCUCUGCUCACCUUUCCAGUGGACUCAAGAUGCUCCUCCCUCACGUGCAUGAGCACAAGCUCACACGAUUAAAAAAAUCAUAUUGAGAAGAGGGCCCUACUGAUACACUGUGGGAACACAGAGGAGAGAAUUCUUUGGGGAAUCCAGAUAGACUUCACAGAAGAAAUGGCAUUUAAGAUGGGUCUUUGAGGAAGAGGAGGAGUUCCUGAAGAGAUGGGGGAGAACUUCAAGGUGGCUAGAACGUGGGGCAAAUGGAUAAAGGGAAGAAAGAAACCAAGAUACUUUUGGGAUGGAUUGUGAAGGACCUCGCGUUUCCUAUAGAGGCGUUUGGACUUAACCCAAAGGCAACAGGUUAUUUUGAUGGGUUGUUAAGUAGAAGGCAGUGUUUCUCAAAUCUGAUUAUCACAGUCAUCCUUUUAAUAGAAAUAGUUUUUGAGGACUUUUUCAGGAUUGACUUACCUAUUUUUAUUAUGAUAUGUACCCUAUUGUGUAUCAGCUUUAACUAUAUAUAAAUUCCUUUUGCUUAUAAUUUUUAUACAACUAAAGAACAAAAAUUGAUUUAUAUAAGAAAUAAAAACAAAACCAUAUGAAUUCUAAAAUGCAAAUUAUCAUUAAUUUAAUGUGAAGGAUUAUGGUUUGCUAAAAUUAAUUCAUGGAAAAAUGAAUUCCUUUCAUCAUAAGAGAGUUCAACAUGCCUGUAAUAACUCAUGUUUCAAGAUAAUUCGAUUCUUCCACUUCUUUCUGUUGCUCAAACUAUUGUGCAUAUUUCAUCUAUACCACAAGCUGUGAAGUCAUUUGACUUUCAUUUGAUAUAAGUUUCCCUCAAAACUUAGCUGUGUAAACAGCCAUUUUAUUAUGCUGAUAGAUUCUGUGAGUCAGGAAUUCAGACUGGGCUGGGAAUGGCUUCUCUUUUUUCCAGGAUAUCUGGAGCUCAGCUGAGAAGACCCAAGGGCUGGAGAAAACUCGACCUCUUCACUCGGGUAAUUGAUGCUAACUCAUAGCGGGACCUCAGCUGAGUGGUUGACUGGAGUUUCAACACAUGCCUUUCCAGGCAGCCUUGGCUUCCGCAUAGCACGGAACCCUCAGGGCAGUCAGCUUUCUUACACAGCAGCUCAGAGCUCCCAAGUGUCCCACGUCACAAAGUAGAGCUUGUCUCACAUUUUCUGACCUAGCUUCAGAAGUCAUACAAGGUCAUUUCCACUGUAUUCUAUUGUACAGUGAGGUCACAAGUCUACCCAGAAUCAGGGGGAGGAAGCAUAGACUUUGUGUCUUAAUGGGAGGAAUGUCAAAGAAGUUUCAGCCACAUUUGAAAACUACCACAGGCUAUGAGAAUAACACAAAAACAAACAUGGGACACUAAAAAAGUAUCUUUUGUUAUAUAUACGGUGAUCAUCUGGAUAAUCCAGGAUAUGCUUAUUCAUAGAAUAAUAACCAAGUUUUUUUCCUUAGGCUCUAAAAUUAGCAGUUAAGUUCCAAAUCUGAGGACAAAUGGGUGGUAAGUGUCUCUCAUUUUGGAGGGCUUACUGUUAGGCAUUAGAUACACCAUUUAAGACUAAGGAAAUGGCCAAAAGCCGUUGUUUUCUCCUUUCUCAUGGAAAACAGAGUGCCAUGAGGUCCCCAUGGAGAAACAUAUAGCACUUGUUACUCUGCCACCAAAUUGCAUACUCAGCACGGCCAAGGUGGCACUCUGUUGUCUGGACAUCUACCUGUCUACUUCACCAGCCAGUUGCAAACUAUCCAUCCUGGACAAAGUGCCAAUAUUGAGCGCCAUUCACAUUUUCAUAGCAAAUAUUAAUAUCAGAUUUGUUAAGGGAAAAAAUGCCUUUUAGAUGAUUUGUAAUUUCAGCUGUUGGAAAUAUUUGAUUAGUUGCAAAUAAAUGAUUUUAAAUUUCUUAUAUACUUAGGAGAAUUAAGUUUUUGUUGGUGUCAAAUCCCAAGAAUGUGAAGAGAUAAUCAUUUCAAAAUCUUAUUCAGGGCUGGGGAGGAAUGAGGAAGAAUAGGGGGUGACUGCUGCUGAGUAUGGGGUUUCUUUGUGGGCUGAUGAAAAUGUCUUCAAAUUAGAUUAUGGUUAUGGUUGCACAAUUCGUCAGUAUUUUAAAAGCCAUUGAGUUGCACAAUUUAAGCGGUUAAAUUAUAAGGCAUGUGAAUUAUAUCUCAAUAAAGAUGUUAUCCAGGCAUAACUAAUCUAUGAGGUUAGAAGUCAGGAUGACAGGAGGAGGUACAGCGCAGGCUCUGAUGUUGGAUUUCUAUCUGGCUGCUGGCAGCAUGGAUGUUACACUUUAUGAAAAUCUAUCAGGCACUUACAAUUUGUGUGCUCUUCCGUAUGUAUGUUAUACUUCAAUAAAUUUUACUUUCAAAAAAUCACACAAAAGAGCCAAAAUGGUAUUAUGUGGCAAGAGGCUGUGUGGUAGACCAUUGAGAAGAGGAGAUGAAAGCUGUGGACAUUCUAGUAAAUACUAAUAAAUGUAUAACAAAUGGCUCUCCAAAAGAAAAGAACAAAUAAAAGAACAAACAAAAAGAAUAAAAAAAACAGAACUGGUUUGUAGUUUUUGCCAAUUUCUAUAUCGUGAGUUCUCCCACCAUGGCUGAUCUCAAGCUACCAUUUGGUUCUGGGAAUAAAACAUCUGAUCCAACUCAACUUAUUCCAAUCCCUUUAUCCAGUUGUCUGCUGGAGUCAGCUCAUACUGGCCAAUUGUUAAAUUUUCAGAAAUUUUGUGAGCUGGUUGUUAAUCCAUUGCUCGACCCAUGACCUGAAACCUGUAGGGCACAAGAUGACCUUUGGUCCUCACCUUUCCCUGAUUAUCUCUUGUUCUCUGGGAAGCAUGGGUGAGUAGGGGAAUAGGAGUUAUGGAAAGGGAUGACUGGGUCCUAUUUGAGGAUGCUGUUGUUGUUCUCUCUUGACUACACUGGUUACUUAUCCACUCCCUCAAUAUGGCAGGAAUCCAGUUGAUGCGUCUUUAGGGGGACAAGGUGAAGUUCACUUCAGGGCACAUGGGUCAAGCAGUAUGAGCUAGGAGUGUGAGGGAGGGAGCUCUAUGAGAAUAAGGUUUUAGCUGGAUUAAAAUGGACUGAACUGGAAAUUAUCUGAAAGUAACUGGAAAGGAGAGUUUAUCCUAGUACAAAUGAACGUGGCAAUUGGAGAAAUAAACUGUUUCUGGUGUAAACUCCUAUCAAGUGCAAACUAUUUGAUAAAUAAAUUAUGCUCAUUAUGAAAUAAUUUGAAGUUUAUCAUUGAAAUAAAAACCAAAAAAUUAAUCUAUAGAUCUCACAGAAAGAUACUCUAUGAAUAGACUGAAACGGGGAGAUGAGUUAGGAAAUUAUUAAAUGUCGGAAUUCAAAGUUGAAGAUCUGAUCUAAGGAUGCAGUAGAUUGAUGGAAGAUGGUAGAUGGAUGGAUGGAACUUGGAUGCCAGAUUCAAGAGGCAAAGUUACAUGAUUGGGUGACCAGUCUUUUAUGGUGGGUAAGAGACAAAAGGUGUCAAGAUUGAUUCUUAUUUUCCAUCUUGGAGGGCUAAAUAUAGUUUCAUGGUUUUUUUGUUUUUGUUUUUUACGGUACGCAGGCCUCUCACUCUUGUGGCUUUUCCCUUUGCGGAGCACAGGUUCCGGACGCACAGGCUCAGCGGC